rnacentral:misc_RNA from 1 species
GAAUGAUCCCAACUGAAAGAUUUGGUUUUUUUUUUAAAUAUAUUAACUUGGGGAGGGGGUAUAUUUAAAUGAAUCAUAAGAAGUGUACAUGAAAAUUUAUAAAUUACUAGUAGCUACAUUGAAUUUAAGUCAGACUGUUUUUUGUUUGCUGUCGCAGGGAAAUGGUUUCUUUCAUGCAUUGCUGAUAUAGACCCAAUAUAAAAAUUACUAUGAAUUACAUGAAGAAGGGGGAAAUGUAGUUCCAAGUUUACGGCAUGGUACUUUAUACCCCAAAACUCGCUUUAGUUGGUCUGUUUGUAGAGCUGAAUAUUAAUCCCAUGGCUUAUUUUUCUAUUUUGGUGAAAGAAGAUACAGAAAAUCACUAGCUGUUAAACUAGAGUUGUUAUUUUUUGCAAGCGUUUACAACAAACACCUCAAAAUCAGUUGCACUUUAGUGUGUGAUUAGUUUCUGAUGUAAUGCCACUACAGGUCUUUCAUUUUUAUUUUUUUUUUGAGUGAAAACCAGGUUAUUUUUAAAAUUGCUCUUGACAAGCAAGAAUGGUAUAUUUCUGCUAUUUUGAAAGCAUUACUUAUCUUAGUGGAUGGGCGUUUCCUCUUAAAAUUUGUAAAAUUGUAUAAUCUGGACGGCGCUGUAACAGAAAGCUGUUACUGUCUGCUGACAAGUGUGUAAACUUUGUUUUGAAAAACACGAUUUCUCUGGCUUUCUUCAUUGCUCCAUGUAGAUAAUACACAGUGACUGUAGUUUUGACCUACAUUGACCAUAGCAACCAUCCAUGAUGACCCACGAUGGUACCGUAGGUCAUAUUCCUCUAGGGUUGCAGAACCCUUCACCAUGUAGUAAUGCAAUCUGAUCACUCCCUUCUCUCAUCCAAAGAAAAGAGCUUAUGGUGUCAAUCACAAACUGUGCUUUUUAUCAUGCUAUAUGAUGCUAUACUACAAUUAUAUUAACAAUAUAUACAUGAAUGUACUUGUACAAAGAAUUUUGUAAUUUACAAAAGUUUCAUUCAUUAUUGACCAUAUUUCAUUUUUUAAAUUAUUAAAUUCAGUCUUCAUGUAACACCUGGAUUACUGUCUAAAUAAGGCAGUCAGGUUUCCAUAGGUUUAAGGUAGGAGGUCUAUCAAUCAAGAAGGAUAACUGUUGAUGUGCCAUUCUAUUAAGUUAUAAUAAUAACUUUGGUACAUGUUGGAGUGUGAAAAAUUCGAAUGAAAAGAGAUUUUUUGUGUGAAUACACGACCGAACCAAAAGUUAGUUAAGUGUUGUCUGUUAUUAUUUAAUGCAAGCGUAGUAACUCAGAAAAUAUGGAAAGUUUGGAGGAAUAGAACAUUUUUUUUAAAUCGGUAAGCUUUUGUCCUGAUAGUCUCUACAAGGUGAAAUGAGAGAGAGUCUCACAGAUUCUGUUCUUUGUGAGCUCAACAAUUAUAUUUAAGUACACCUUAAUAUGGGUUACAUAUCAGUUAAUAUAAUUAGGUGCAUUAUAGUUUUGUAAAUUAGAUUUUCUUUUAAUUAAAUGUUUGAGUGCAUAGUAUACACAAAGUGAAGACAAGCUGAAUGUUAAACUGAUCUUAAAUGACAUGAAAACAUUCUAUGUUGGCAGCCAUAUUGUUUUUUGUUAUAUAUAUACUUUUGUGUUUUAAGCAUAUUCAUUUCUCCAUUCUUAUUGUUAUUGUCAGCCUCUGAAAAAUGUUUAAGUAGUAUGUGAAUAUUAAAUUAUUUCUGAA